GUCCCCUUCGGGGGACAGGGUGACAGGUGGUGCAUGGUUGUCGUCAGCUCGUGUCGUGAGAUGUUGGGUUAAGUCCCGCAACGAGCGCAACCCUCGACCUUAGUUGCCAGCAUUCAGUUGGGCACUCUAAGGUGACUGCCGGCUAAAAGUCGGAGGAAGGUGGGGAUGACGUCAAAUCAUCAUGCCCCUUAUGACCUGGGCUACACACGUGCUACAAUGGUUGGUACAACGAGUUGCGAGUCGGUGACGGCGAGCUAAUCUCUUAAAGCCAAUCUCAGUUCGGAUUGUAGGCUGCAACUCGCCUACAUGAAGUCGGAAUCGCUAGUAAUCGCGGAUCAGCACGCCGCGGUGAAUACGUUCCCGGGCCUU
rnacentral:rRNA from 1 species